GUAAUUAUUAAAAUCUUCGCCGUGACUAGAAUAUCGUAACAUCGGAGAUUUUUGAACUUUCGAGUACGUGAUAACGAUAAUCUCCGCGUAAUAAUCACCGAGGCAAGGACCGUAUAAUCUAGUCGCUCCGCAGUUCGCUCAUCGCGAGGUCUUCGAAAAUUUCUUCCGGAUCGUUUCGUUCGCGCGGUUCCGUCUGCCCCCAUAAAUUAAUACCCUCUCUUGCGACUCGAUGGUUACGAGUAUUCUAUUCAAAUGCUUUUGCGACUAUACGAUCCACCGAAUUGGCCGCCAUUAGGAGACUCUGCAGUGCUUCAAGUUCUCCUCAACGAUCUGCCAGACGCCGUAAGAGAUUUCGGCUUAUGUAAUACCUAUGUACUUGAGCAUUUACUCGGAAUUUCUCGGUGUACGGGUAUGACUAACGACGAUAUUCUAGAACGCCCGCACAUACAUCGUAUGUAUGAUACAUACCUACAUUCACCUAUAGAUCUUCGGGACCAAACUAGUAAGAACUUGAGAACAACGCUGUUGCAGAGGAUAGACUGUAAUAUAUCCUACUAGACGUGUGAGUUCUCCGUUCCUUGCAAUGCUGGAAUUGUACGCAUGUACGUAUACUCACGCUAAUCGCUUUGCAGUAUCAUCAAUCCGCGGCGCAAGGAGACGAUCUACAUAUAAAUCACAUUUUAAUCCUACCGUCGAUUCGUUUUCCAACGAUGUGAAAAAUUAGAAUCCGACUCACGAUUCUUCGACGCAUCGAUAGGCAGAUAUAUGAUUUUUUUCAAGAAUAAAUUCCAAGGGUCAAACGACGAAUUGAUUCGCGUCGAAGAGAUAUGCCCGAGGUUCGUUACCCUGCCAAUACUCGAUGUAUAUGUACAUGAUGCGAAUGUAAGGGUGAAUCGCAGAAUGGGGGCUUGCAACGAGGUAGCUCGACACUUUGCUAAAUUAUAUGAAUCACAACGAGUUUCUAGAGAAAGCACCCCUUCAGCUCUCCUGAGGUGCUUAAUCCUCCGGAGGUGUAGGGAACGGAGCACCCUAACUUUGCCUUGAAGACGUUUUGUAUUACGUUGUCCGUAGUUACUUUAUAUUAAGGAUCGGUUAAUUAAUUCGUGUACCGUUAAUUAGAGUAAGUGCGCGUUUGUAGGUAUACAAAAUUAAAUAUACUCAUUAUACGGACAAACAUAGAAGUGGAUAUACUUAUAGAUGUAUCGCUGGUGCCUCGCCUUCAGCGGUGCACUUUAUACAGACUGGAAGAAAUUGUUAUUCUCGUCUUUCGAUAUUCUUCAAGAUCUAAAACAUGUUCGGAUUUAAUACGUGGCAAAACCAAGUUCAAUUUAUUUCUUUUACACGCAUAAGGGGGUUACAUUGCAAAGAGGGUGACGUCGUUUUACGAAAGAGCUUUUUUUUUUAAUCUAUCUUCUAUUCAUCCGAAAAAUAAACUAGCUGUCUAGUAGAAACUACUCAAAAAAUUAAUGGAGAUCGAGAUUAAAUAAUUGGCAUUGGUUUUGUUAAAUUUUUCCGCACAUUCUCCGAGUACACGUUAUGUAUUGUAUCGCAGAAGCGACCCUAUCCGCAGCUGCGACGGAACAACCGACUUUUAAUCGUUGUAAAUUGCGUUUGAAUUGCUCGCCUUGCGUUUGAUAUUAACCCGUGACAUUAUAUCACUUGAAAAUAACGCGGUAUCCCUAUGACUGUGUUUGUGUGUGCGUUCAAUGUCGUUCGGAUACACGCAAAGAUAUUACACGUAUACAAAUAUAACAGCAAAAGGAUAAACCCGUGCGGUGUAACGUAUACAUCGACUCGUACGUCGACGAUUACAUACACACAACAGGUUCAAGCUACGCGCAAAACAUCGAGGAGAAUGAACGCGUACGUGAGAAUUAUAAACGCUCUAGUAAUCCACCCCCGGGGGUUAAACUGGUGCCCGGAACCCGAGUGAAGCAAUCGUGUGCCCGGGGUUAUUCCGCUAAUUCGAUUACUAGGAGCGCGGUCGUCGGAAUCAGAGGAGACAGACGGGGCCGUAAAGCUUCGCCCCGAAAUAAAAACCUCCGGUGUGUGCUUUACCAAAAACCCCCAUAUGGCACGCGACGCGACGUCGACCGCGAUCGUAAAGAUGAAUAAGAAAUUUAUUGCGCAGCAUUCUUCGGAAGAUUAUGCAUUCUAAUCGCAGUUAGUUAACAUGUUUGUUAGCAUAAAGUACGAGCAACCCUCAGACUACACGUAGGUACAGAUGAAACGCGGUGGUGGAAGAUCUCAAAUUUUCCACGUAUGGGAAUUACAUUGAUUUAAAUAAAGAUCCAAAUAUUAUUGGUACGUAAUUGAAUUGGGAUCAAAGGUCAGGUCAUAGUACGGAAAAUUAUUUGGGGGCGGAAAAAAAAAAAUCUACAUGUAGCCGAGGCGAAGAUCCCUAAAUCGUGAUCCGACCCUCGAUCGGAUUGGUACAUUAGUAAGACUUUAUGUGUUCAGAGGAUACUUUUUCAAAACUAACCCCCACGGUAAUAAAUAUGUCCAGUACUUCGCCUUGCUGCUGACCAUUUCUCGGACCCCGAGCACUCGCCGAGUAAAGUGCUUCCACCGUUCUCGGACCACCAGUCUUCAAUUCGCCGCGUGAUCUCUAAAUCUUCGCUCUCAACUUUCCCCUGGUCCACGUACUUAAGUAUAGCCGAUCACAAUGAAUAAUACCUAUACAGUUGGGUGUACGGAGGAUUCGCGAGCGGGUUAGUACCGAGCAGAUUGCUUUUUGAUUUGCGAUUAAUCGUGGGAGAAGUUACGAGGGACCACCCGUGGUGCAGAGACGUGGCGAAGGGCGUAUCGGACGCACCUCUCGUCCUGGUGCAACUCGCAUAUUAAACCAUAAAUUACAGAUUACGCGACUCCGAGUUAUUAUCCCCAUAUAUCCGGGGCACUAUUCUCCAGGUAUUUUAUACAUGAUUGUACAACGGUGCGGCAAUGCUCCCUGCGAUGCAAUUUUUAACUUCGAUACCACGCUCGUUUUCCAAGAUGAAAUCGGGGCGCGAAUACCCCGUUACGCUAUUGAGUUACGAGGAACUAAAAGCUAACGUAGAUCUGUGAAUCGUUGAGAAAAAAAACCUGACAUUUCAUGCAAAAUUGACAUGAUGCGAAGAACUCACCCUUAGCCGUAUCAUCCUGCGGUUGGGUUUGGUGGUUUGAUCCUCGCGGUACGUGAUGCUGUCGAUGUGGUGUCGUUUGUUCCGCAGACGACCUCGACAGAUCAGUUCCGCAGAUGAUUCCGUCUGUGGGACU